GACGAACGCUGGCGGCGUGCUUAACACAUGCCAGUUGAACGAGAAUUUUUCGAGUGAUUUCUUCGGAAUGAUCAUGAAAAAGGAAAGUAGCGAACGGGUGAGUAACACGUGAGAAACCUGCCUUUCACAAAGGGAUAGCCUCGGGAAACCGGGAUUAAUACCUUAUGAAACCAAACACUCGCAUGAGAGAUUGGUUAAAGAUUUAUCGGUGUUAGAUGGUCUCGCGUCUGAUUAGCUAGUUGGUGGGAUAAAAGCCUACCAAGGCAACGAUCAGUAGCCGGAUUGAGAGGUUGAACGGCCACACUGGAACUGAGACACGGUCCAGACUCCUACGGGAGGCAGCAGUGGGGAAUUUUGCACAAUGGAGGAAACUCUGAUGCAGCGACGCCGCGUGAGUGAUGAAGGUCUUCGGAUUGUAAAGCUCUGUCCUUAGUGAAGAUAAUGACAGUAACUAAGAAGCAAGCCCUGGCUAAAUACGUG
rnacentral:rRNA from 1 species